CACACNGNGGUGUGUUUUACCUGAAGACGGUGCGCUAACCGCAAGGAGGCAGCCGGCCACGGUAGGGUCAGCGACUGGGGUG
rnacentral:rRNA from 1 species